rnacentral:sRNA from 1 species
AGGUACUGGCGGACACUCCGGUACCUCCGCGCCGUCCGCACCCACCUGACGGCUGCUCGCUACGUUUUGUUAGCC